UACGGGGGGAGCAAGCGUUGUUCGGAUUUACUGGGCGUAAAGGGCGCGUAGGCGGCCUGGCAAGUGGAAGGUGAAAUCCCUCGGCUUAACCGAGGAACUGCCCUCCAAACUGCUUGGCUUGAGUCCGGGAGAGGUGAGUGGGAAUUCCCAGUGUAGCGGUGAAAUGCGUAGAUAUUGGGAGGAACACCAGUGGCGAAGGCGGCUCACUGGACCGGAACUGACGC
rnacentral:rRNA from 1 species